rnacentral:lncRNA from 1 species
GUCCACAACCCAGCAUUCUGGAACUCCCCAGAGGUGCACAGCCUUCGCUCACCUGCCCAGCACACAGUGAGCAAAUGCCUGGCCCCUGUCCUGGCUCAUCUGGCAUCCUGAAAUGCCACCAGAGAAUGGGCACUGCAGAGGGGCUGCUUCUCCUGCUCUGCUUGCCUUGGCGGAUUCUCCUGACCCCCUGGAAUCCCUUAGGAGAUGACAAGGCGGGGGAGAUGCACCUGUGUUCACCAGUACAAUGUGGGUGGUGACACAGUGUCCCACACAAGGUCACCAGCACAAGGGAAGCCAGCCAUGAAGCCCACAGCCCAGCAACUUGGCUCAGCAUGGUACUUGGGCCAAGGGUGUAGGGUGUGGCCGGAGGCGACUACUGUGAUGGCUGACAAGGAAAACCAGAAAGCCCGUGCUUCAUUCCCACAUUUUAGACAUCCUUUCCAUCAUCACCAUCAGCGCUGUCUUCACCACCAUCCCCAUCAUCAUCGUCGUCGUCAUCAUUAUCACCACUGUCAGUGCCAUAACUAUCAUCACCAUCACCAGCAGUACUACCGCCGUCACUACUAUCACUGCCCCACCUCUACAUGACCAUAUCCAUCAUGCUCGUCACCGCCAUCACACUUAUGGUCACCAUCAUCAUCACUGUCAUCUUGUGAUUGGUGUUGUGUUUUAACACGAUACAUCAGGAGACCCCUG